GAUGAACGCUGGCGGCGUGCCUAAUACAUGCAAGUCGAACGAGGUCUUCGGACCUAGUGGCGAACGGGUGAGUAACACGUUGGUACCUACCCUCUAGUGGGGAAGUAACUGGCCGAAAGGUCGGCUAAUACCGCAUAAUACCGCAAGGUUAAAGACAGUAAUGCGCUAGAGGAGGGGCCGUGCGUCUGAUUAGCUAGUUGGUGGUGUAAUGGACCACCAAGGCGACGAUCAGUAGCNGGAUCGAGAGGUUGACCAGCCACACUGGGACUGAGAUACGGCCCAGACUCCUACGGGAGGCAGCAGUAAGGAAUCUUCCACAAUGGACGAAAGUCUGAUGGAGCAACGCCGCGUGCAGGAUGACGGUC
rnacentral:rRNA from 1 species